GGCAGAACGUCAGGGCGGCCAGGCCCAGGCCAUAUGGUGCAUCCGAGGUCCUCCUUUGUAAUCCUGGGUAAUUGAAAUCCUCUUCCUCAUUCGGACGUGGAAAGCCUUCCUCGGUGAAGAAAAAGGAAACCAUCAAUCACGGAGGAUCAACUAGGCUGGACCAGACCCAUGCCCUGUCCAAAAUAAGAUGCAGUGUCCCCACUGUCCCCAUUUUACUGAGGCACAGACUGAGGCUCAGAAAGGCUCCUGCCAGGUCACCCAGCUGUACAGAGUACCUCAUGAGAAUAAGAUGCUGAAGAAUCAAGGUCUCUUGACCUGUGCCCUUGACUCCAAAGAAGUAGCCCUUCAACUCAGGUACCUGGGUACCUGUGACAUGCUUACUGGGAGCACCACUGGUGUCCUCUGGAGCCCCCACACCACGCUGUUCGUAAUGACGACUACUGCAUUGGCACGUCUCGUUGGGGUUCAACUUCUGUCCCUGCAGCUCCUGAGCUGCGUGACAUGGGCAGGGGACAUCAACUUUCUGAGCCCGAGUUGCCUCUUCUGGAAAGCGGGAGUCAUGCCGUCUUGCUCGCAGGGUGGUGGUCCCAGGGCUUGUGGCUGUGCCCUGCCCCUCUUGGGAACAGCGGGGGCCCAGGAACCUCUCUGCAGCACGGCUACCACCCAACCUCACCCGGCCACGAGCGAGGAUCCAGGAGAGGACGCGGGCCCUGGCAGAGCUGAUCAGUAUCCUUCGCUCUUAACUGGUGGAUGUGCUAGAAGGGGAGGUGACGGCUGCAGGCAGCCCCUCGCGUGGUAAAGAGAAUGAAGACAGCACAUUCAGAGAUGUCAGGGGAGGGGAGAGAGAAGGGUGUCUGAGUGUCGCCUCCCUGCUCCCAGGAGGCCCUUGUGUCUGCUUCCUGCCUGUCUUAUCUGGAUUUAUUUUUGUCAUCCACUAACUCCUCCAUUUUACUUCUGUUCAUUCAUUUGAAUUCUGUUUCUUUUUUCUUUUCUUUCCCCCUUUUUUUGCAAGUAAAAGAGUGU
ensembl:lncRNA